UUACGUUUCUUCAAUUACACACAUACGUGUGAGUGAAACGACACUCUUUACGCUUCUUUCGUUGACAACAUAUGUCGUUCAAU